AGAGUUUGAUCAUGGCUCAGGACGAACGCUGGCGGCGUGCUUAACACAUGCAAGUCGAACGGAAAGGCCCUGCUUGCAGGGUACUCGAGUGGCGAACGGGUGAGUAACACGUGGGUGAUCUGCCCUGCACUUCGGGAUAAGCCUGGGAAACUGGGUCUAAUACCGGAUAGGAGCCAUUUUUAGUGUGAUGGUUGGAAAGUUUUUUCGGUGUAGGAUGAGCUCGCGGCCUAUCAGCUUGUUGGUGGGGUAAUGGCCUACCAAGGCGGCGACGGGUAGCCGGCCUGAGAGGGUGGACGGCCACAUUGGGACUGAGAUACGGCCCAGACUCCUACGGGAGGCAGCAGUGGGGAAUAUUGCACAAUGGGCGCAAGCCUGAUGCAGCGACGCCGCGUGGGGGAUGACGGCCUUCGGGUUGUAAACUCCUUUCGCUAGGGACGAAGCUUUUUGUGACGGUACCUAGAUAAGAAGCACCGGCUAACUACGUGCCAGCAGCCGCGGUAAUAC
rnacentral:rRNA from 1 species